AUUGAACGCUGGCGGCAUGCCUUACACAUGCAAGUCGAACGGCAGCACGGGGGCAACCCUGGUGGCGAGUGGCGAACGGGUGAGUAAUACAUCGGAAUGUACCCAGUAGUGGGGGAUAACUAGUCGAAAGAUUAGCUAAUACCGCAUACGCACUAUGGUGGAAAGCGGGGGAUCGCAAGACCUCGCGCGAUUGGAGCGGCCGAUGUCAGAUUAGGUAGUUGGUGGGGUAAAGGCUCACCAAGCCGACGAUCUGUAGCUGGUCUGAGAGGACGACCAGCCACACUGGGACUGAGACACGGCCCAGACUCCUACGGGAGGCAGCAGUGGGGAAUUUUGGACAAUGGGCGGAAGCCUGAACCAGCCAUCCCGCGUGCAGGAAGACAGCCCUAUGGGUUGUGAACUGCUUUUCCAGUGGGCGAACCCCUCGUACGUGUACGGGAUUGACGGUACACUGGGAAUAAGCAUCGGCUAACUCCGUGCCAGCAGCCGCGGU
rnacentral:rRNA from 1 species